CCGCUGAGUGGGGAGGAGAGAGGGACAGAGAGCCUGCUUCUUUAAAGGAGCAAAGCGGGAGAGGAGAGGAGCCGCUUACACGAGUGUAAGCGGCUCCUUUCCGGUUGGUUCCUUUAAAGCAAGCAGGCUCUCUGUCCCUCUCUCCUCCCCACUCAGCU